rnacentral:misc_RNA from 1 species
AAAGCUCUGGGAUUUGUCAAUGUGUGCAUCUCGGGUUAUUGAUACUCCCCUUCAAUCAUUCACGGGCCACAUGAACAUUAAGGUACAUUCACUUUUCGUGUUAUAGGAAGCAUCUGUAAGUUUACGUUAGGUUUUUUGUUUUUGUGAAAGCUACUGGAUUUGGUGUUUUUAAUUUCAUUGUUAAUGUUGCUCAACUCAUCAUAGUUAAUACUAAUUUAAAUUUGACUUAGAAUCAUGGGACAGCAAAUACAAACUCAUAUACAAGUGAUUGGAAUUCUGCAGUUAACACUGCUUUGGACUUGCUUAAUGCAACUGAGCAUGUUUGAUUCAAAUAAAAUUAUGAGAUAAAUUUAUAGCAUUGGUAGCACUGCCCUUCAUCUGAUCCCAAACUUGCCUUGUUUGACAUAUGAGGAACCCCUUGAUCACAGACAUGAAAUCUAUACAAUUGAGCAGAUCACCCUCUAUGUUGAAAUGCCAACUACUUUGUAGAAUUGACGUCUGGAAGUAGUACAUUAAAUUUUGGGUAAAAGUGAAAGGGUUAUGAGUAUCUUGGAGCAAUGUCCUUCCACUAAAUGUCAAAUCCUUCAUUAAUGUGUCACCGUACUUUUGAUUUAUACAACUCGGAUAUCAUAUCAAUCAUCCACACUAUAUUUGCUUGGUGUAGAAAUUUUUAAGUGUUGAACUGGUUGUUUUUGCUUGUUCCCUUCGGGUCUGUUCUUCAAUUUUCAAUCCAUCAUCUUGACCAAUUGGAGCCUAUUGGUCUUUCAUGCUCUCAAGUUGGAGCUUCAGAUAUUCUAAAGGAUUGACACAUGGUUAUAUGUGUCAUUCUCUCAGAGGCACAUUAUUUUGGCCCAUAUCAAUUAAGAAUUUUAAAUCCUUUUAGUUAAAGACAGAAUUUCAACCAAUACGCUCAUAGGUUUAAGAUUGAACCUGAAAGUUAUAUAGGUGAAGAAAGAUGUGAUAGAGAGCAACAGACCUAUUUUUCACAAUUUGAUAAUACACUAAUGUGGAAGUCAAAUUGGGGCCAUCUAAUUAAUGAUAGAAAUUGUUGUGCUAUUUAGCCUGAUAUAUAUUAUCUUUAUAUGGUAUUAAUGUGGAAGUUUAUCUUGCUAUUUAUUGUCCAUUUUUUUUGUACUUUUUUGCAGAACUUUGUGGGUUUGUCAGUA